UAAGAGAAGCUUGCUUCUCUUGAGAGCGGCGGACGGGUGAGUAAUGCCUAGAAUCUGCCUAGUGGUGGGGGAUAACGUUCGGAAACGGGCGCUAAUACCGCAUACGUCCUACGGGAGAAAGCGGGGGACCUUCGGGCCUCGCGCCAUUAGAUGAGCCUAGGUCGGAUUAGCUAGUUGGUGAGGUAAUGGCUCACCAAGGCUACGAUCCGUAACUGGUCUGAGAGGAUGAUCAGUCACACUGGAACUGAGACACGGUCCAGACUCCUACGGGAGGCAGCAGUGGGGAAUAUUGGACAAUGGGCGAAAGCCUGAUCCAGCCAUGCCGCGUGUGUGAAGAAGGUCUUCGGAUUGUAAAGCACUUUAAGUUGGGAGGAAGGGUAGUAACUUAAUACGUUGCUACUUUGACGUUACCGACAGAAUAAGCACCGGCUAACUUCGUGCCAGCAGCCGCGGUAAUACGAAGGGUGCAAGCGUUAAUCGGAAUUACUGGGCGUAAAGCGCGCGUAGGUGGUUCAGUAAGUUGGAAGUGAAAUCCCCGGGCUCAACCUGGGAACUGCUUUCAAAACUGCUGAGCUAGAGUACGGUAGAGGGUAGUGGAAUUUCCUGUGUAGCGGUGAAAUGCGUAAUUAGGAAGGAACCCAGUGGCGAAGGCGACUACCUGGACUGAUACUGACCUGAGGUGCGAAGCUGGGACAAC
rnacentral:rRNA from 1 species